rnacentral:rRNA from 1 species
GACGAACGCUGGCGGCGUGCCUAAUACAUGCAAGUCGAGCGCAGGAAGCCAUCUGAACCCUUCGGGGGGACGACGGUGGAAUGAGCGGCGGACGGGUGAGUAACACGUAAAGAACCUGCCCAUAGGUCUGGGAUAACCACGAGAAAUCGGGGCUAAUACCGGAUGUGUCAUCGGACCGCAUGGUCCGCUGAUGAAAGGCGCUCCGGCGUCGCCCAUGGAUGGCUUUGCGGUGCAUUAGCUAGUUGGUGGGGCAACGGCCCACCAAGGCGACGAGGCAUAGCCGGCCUGAGAGGGUUAUCGGCCACACGGGUACUGGGACACGGCCCAGACUCCUACGGGAGGCAGCAGUAGGGAAUCUUCCACAAUGGGCGAAAGUCUGAUGGGGCAACGCCGCGUGAACGAUGAAGGCUUUCGGGUCGUAAAGUUCUGUUGUAAGGGAAGAACAAGUGCCGCAGGCAAUGGCGGCACCUUGACGGUACCUUGCGAGAAAGCCACGGCUAACUACGUGCCAGCCGCCGCUGUAAAAC